GGUUCAAUGGUCUAGUGGUUAUGAUUUCUGUCUCACAAUCUGGGAUACUAAACCGUCCAAUGGUCACAGAAGGUCUCCAGUUCGAUCCUGGAUUGAACCA